GUCGUCUCACGAGCAUGAUCUCAUGAGGCUCAUGAGAAAAGAUCAAGAGCUUCACGAGGCAAGAUCAGGAGGCUCAUGACAAAAGUCAGGGUCGAGAUUCACGAGAAAAGAGUGUGUGAAGAAUAUUGGAAGGUGGCUCAGGGAAUGACAUGUCAAAUUUACAAUGCUGUAUACGCAUAACUCAAAUCUUAACCAUUACCAGUUGGAUAUACACACAUGGGCAUAAUUAUGGAGCCACCCCCAUAUCAGCUGAGGCAUGGAAAUCAACAGAAAUUGCAGAUCUAUGAAUAUACUGCUGACCCGCUGCUUCUGCGUCAAAUCAUGCUAUUUGAGUAUUCAUAUUGUUCUGAUAUUGACAACCCGUAGCAACAAAAAGAUUAAAAGAAUGACCAGACUAACGACCACCGCCAGCAUAACCAUGUCCAAACCGUUCGUGUUGUGACGUCACGAGAGCAGACGAGAAUGGACUCAUAAUAUGCAAAAAAAGUAAAUUGAAACGUAUAGCCUCUAUUUAAUCUUUGAGUACGUCUUCUGACAUAAACAAAGUCAUUUUAUUGUUUAGAAGCUUUUGAAAAAGAUUAACUUUCAAAUCUACUGGUUAAACUGACAGCAAGAAGCAGUCAUGUCAUUGUGUAUCUCAACAGGUCACACAUCACCUGCAAUCUCAGACAUGCGGAUGGCACAAUUGGAGCCAUUACCUCACCAUUAUGACUUGUUUUAAUUUACUAAAAAAUGCAGCUGUCACUGUAGAUGCAUGUACUUGCAGUGUCUGAAAAAUUCCAAUAAUUCUUUAAUCUAAGUCACAUGCUCAUGGUGGCUCAAUAAUUAUGCCCAUCUCUGUAACAGUGUACGCUCUAGAUGUUGAAGAAAGUGACAUGAUAAUGUUUUGUGCUUGUAUAUACGUAGUUCCAUUUGUGGUCAGUUUGAGCAUGGUAUAAGAUGCUGUGAAAAAGAG